GUGUCUCAUUAAGUCUCUUUGCGUCAUUCGGAGCGAAUUGACGUGCGAAAAUGAUUCUAAUCGUAUUAUAUUAUUAGAUAAUUUCAAUCAGCUUCUUAGGAAAUGGAAUUUUGUGCGUCUUGAAACCGAUAUAAAAUUGAUUAUGCAGAAAAACCACAAUUAUCACCGACCAAACCUGAAGAAAGUUUCAGCUAGAUUCAGUAGGAACUUUACAAUUCUUCAAAUGAUCCAGAGAAUUUAACACGAAAAACCCACUCUUAAACUUUCCUAUCUCGAGACAGUUUUUUAAUCUAUUACGUGAAUUGCAGUAGCGCUAUUUAAAAUAAAACCCUCUUGAUAAUAAUACAGAAUAGAAGUGUUAUUUGUAAUUGAAAUGUGGUUAAGGUUGGGCUUCUCUAAAGGAGGAAUGGUUGUAGGCUCUCGAAAAUUUCCUCAUUUUGAGCAUAGAGCUGCUCGUAGAUCUCACUAUAAUUAAUAUCGCCCUUCCGGCCGCCAUAUUCAUCUGGUAGGACAUCGGGAUCAAUAAAACCAUGAAGAGAAUCGCGAUUGUUGAAAUGGAACUUCACCUAAAACCAUAUUUAUCCUCGUAAAUUAAUCCAACAAAAUAUCGAAUCAAUAUUGAUUUUUUUAUCUGCACAAUUUCAAGAGUGUUUUUUAUUGUUCUUGGUCGAUAAGAAAGUCUAUUGGUGUUAAUUAGAUCACUUUAUAAACACCAAUUUGAAGUAUGAUAAUUUAAGCAAGUAAUUGCUACCCACAGUUUUUUUUAUAUCUUCAGGCAAAAAUGGCCAGACAAUCUUCAGCGCAGCAUUUAGAAUAAAGGAGUUGUUGACCACAUGGAACCUGAAGUCCUUAAAUGGCAAACACUGCAGCUUUUUCAAUCCCACCAUGAUAUUGUGAGGUGUGAGCCAUUUGAUGGACUUCCAAGGUAGAUUUGCUAUGUCCAAAAGAACGCACAGUCCUUUCUCUGGAUCACUGUUGAGUAGAAUUGAUUCAAUCCAUAUAUCGUCUACAGCAAUAACGUCUAGAAGGGCCAUUUUGGAAGGGUCACAGUUUCCUGAAAUUUGKUUCACUGGUUUUGAGCUUAAAUAGAGUAUGGCACGCUGAAUUUGCUAGAUUUUUUCAAGUGAAAGAAUGUAGGGAUAUUUUAAGAAAAACGUAACUUAUUGUCGGCCUCCUUUAAAGCCUGAUGUUGCUCUAAUGAUUUUUUUCUGAAGGAUUAAUGUGUUCGUUAAUUUUGAAUCCAAGCUGAAAUUUUAUUUGUAUUUCAAUGAUUGUCUAUUAAUUAUAAACAGUUUUUAAGAUAUUAAG